rnacentral:antisense_RNA from 1 species
CUUCACCGACCCGAUCCACAGCGGCCGGUCCGCGACCCGGUCCCUGCCGUAGGUGGCCAGCAGCGCCUGCGCCUC